rnacentral:rRNA from 1 species
AUUGAACGCUGGAGGCAGGCCUAACACAUGCAAGUCGAGCGGAGCGGCGGACGGGUGAGUAAUGCCUAGGAAUCUGCCUGGUAGUGGGGGAUAACGUCCGGCAACGGGCGCUAAUACCGCAUACUAUCAGAUGAGCCUAGGUCGGAUUAGCUAGUGGGGGGGGUAAAGGCCUACCAAGGCGACGAUCCGUAACUGGUCUGAGAGGAUGAUCAGUCAAACUGGAACUGCGACAGGGUCCAGACGCCAACGGUAGGCAGCAGUGGGGAAUAUUGGCCAAUGGGCGCAAGCCUGAUCCAGCCAUGCCGCGUGUGUGAAGAAGUUCUUCGGAUUGUAAAGAACUUUAAGUUGGGAGGCGUGCCCAACAGAAUAAGCACCGGCUAACUUCGUGCCAGCAGCCGCGGUAAUAC